CCUGUUCCUCCACGAUACCACCCGGCACCACAGCCGCGGUACGAUCCGGUACCACAGCCACAGUACCAACAGGUGCCGCCACAGCACAUUCCGGUGCCCCCACCACAUCAGCAGGCGCCACCACAGGGUCCCCCAGUUCACCCUCAGCCGGUCCCAGUCCCUCUACCUCGGGACCCCGCUCCCUCCUUGAUCGACCCCGGCUUCAUAGAGAGGUACAGGAGACUGAACCCUUCUACCUUUUCAGGGGGAUCCUCGUUCGAAGAGGCCCAAUACUGGCUGGCAGAGACUGAG
rnacentral:lncRNA from 1 species